rnacentral:lncRNA from 1 species
GAAAAUCGGACCGCUACCGGCGCUAGGAUCCAGAUCGGCUUAAGGCCGCCGGGACCCGUAGCAAGCCUGACAUGAAACCUGUAAACCUGUAUAAUCCCAUACAUGAUCAACAACAUGCAUAAAAAUUAAAACUUUUUAUUCCAUGAACAUCAACCAAACUCAACCUGUGUAUAAACAUAACAUAACUUUGAUCCCUCUGUGGGAUCUCAUCUGU